rnacentral:rRNA from 1 species
GCCUACGGCCAUACCAGUCUGAAAGUGCCUAAUCUUGUCAGAUCUCAGAAGUCAUGCAGACUUCGGCAUGUUUAGUACUUGUAUGGUAGACCAACUAGGAACCUCAGGUGCCGUAAGCU